AGGGUGGCUGAGCUAAAAUUGCUCGCCUGUUUCAGUGCGUUGACUCUCAUGCAUUUGCUAACUCGACUUUUCACCUCGACAACUUCCGAAAUAUUCGAGAUAGCAGAUAUUUCGGUGGAAUAGUAAUCUCUUAAGGAAAAGUGCACCUAAGGAUUUUCCCUUUCUUUGGAUACCCUGAGAUCAUUGGAUUGAGACACAGAAAAUUGAAG